AAUGAACGUUGUCGGCGUGGAUUAGGCAUGCAAGUCGAGCGAGAAUCUGUGGAAUGCGGCUUCGGCCAAGUGAAGCAGAGGACAGCGGCAAACGGGGUAGUUAGGCGCAGGUUACGUACCCUCUGGUUGGGGAUAGCCACGGGAAACUGUGGGUAAUACCCAAUGAUCCGCCGUGUUGUAAUGACGUGGCGGCAAAGGUGAGAUUCCGCCGGAGGAGCGGCCUGCGUGGUAUUAGCUUGUUGGUGAGGUAAUGGCUCACCAAGGCGAAGAUGCCUAGGGGGUGUGAGAGCAUGGCCCCCACCACUGGGACUGAGACACUGCCCAGACACCUACGGGUGGCUGCAGUCGAGAAUCUUUGGCAAUGCACGCAAGUGUGACCAAGCGACGCCGAGUGCUGGAUGAAGGCCUUCGGGUUGUAAACAGCUGUCAGAGGGGAUGAAAUUGUUGGGGGCUAUCCCCCUUCAUGACAAAGC
rnacentral:rRNA from 1 species